GUGGGGAGCAAACAGGAUUAGAUACCCUGGUAGUCCACGCUGUAAACGAUGGGUACUAGGAUUUGUGGGAGUUGACCCCUGCAGAUCCGGAGCUAACGCGAUAAGUACCCCGCCUGGGAAGUACGGUCGCAAGACUAAAACUCAAAGGAAUUGACGGGAGCCCGCACAAGCGGUGGAUUAUGUGGUUUAAUUCGAAGCAACGCGCAGAACCUUACCUAGGCUUGACAUCCCUUGACCGCCGUAGAGAUACGGUUUUCGUAGCAAUACGACAAGGAGACAGGUGCUGCAUGGCUGUCGUCAGCUCGUGUGGUGGCAUGUCGGGUUAAGUCCCUCAACGAGCGCAACCCCUGUUUUUAGUUGCCAGCAUUAAGUUGGGCACUCUAGAAAGACUGCGGUGGUUAACACGGAGGAAGGCGGGGAUGACGUCAAGUCCUCAUGGCCCUUACGCCUAGGGCGACACACGUAAUACAAUGGUUGAUACAGAGGGAGGCGAAAUGGUGACAUGGAGCAAAUCUCAAAAAGUCAAUCUCAGUUCGGAUUGGAGUCUGCAACUCGACUCCAUGAAGGCGGAAUCGCUAGUAAUCGCGGAUCAGCACGCCGCGGUGAAUACGUUCCCGGGCUUUGUACACACCGCCCGUCACACCAUGGGAGCUGACUCAACCAGAAGACGAUCAGGAUAACCGUAAGGGGUCCUUCGGCGAAGGUGGGGUUGGUGACUGGGGUG
rnacentral:rRNA from 1 species